CUUUUACUUUCCAUUGACUGGCCUUGGCUCUGGCAGACUGAAUAUUUUUAUCAUUAUAAAUAAACUUUAUGAUAGUUGAAGUAAAGUUUCUGCCUGUCUUUCAGUUAAAUUUUAACUGUUGAAGUAUUUCACUUAUAUUAAUUAAUUAUACCACUCUGCAAACUUAAACGAAUAUCGAGUAGUUUCUGUUUUAAUAAAAAC